UACGAAGGGGGCUAGCGUUGCUCGGAAUCACUGGGCGUAAAGGGUGCGUAGGCGGGUCUUUAAGUCAGGGGUGAAAUCCUGGAGCUCAACUCCAGAACUGCCUUUGAUACUGAAGAUCUUGAGUUCGGGAGAGGUGAGUGGAACUGCGAGUGUAGAGGUGAAAUUCGUAGAUAUUCGCAAGAACACCAGUGGCGAAGGCGGCCAACUGGACGAGUACUGACGCUGAGACACGAAAGCGUGGGGAGCAAACAGG
rnacentral:rRNA from 1 species